UUGUCAUAUUACAACGAUGUAAACCCUGAGGGGAACAUCAGAGUCUGAACCACGUUUCAUAAUCAUCCAUCCAGCAGCUGCUGAGAUGUUUCAGUCUGGACCAAAGUGGUGGUGGACAUGCUGCUAGCUCGUGGCUAAUAACCUAUUUUUGCAGAAAUGUGUUUUUCUACUUCCUGUCAUUUUAAUCAUCUGGCGACAGCUCAGAUUUACCCUGCGACUCCUUGCGGGGUCCCGACCCCCAGUGAAUCUCUGCAGCUUUCCUCCCUCUGCUGGUUCCUCCACCGCCUGUCCAGCUCGCAGCUGCAGGAGUCUGGUUCCACCAGCAGGGGACAGCGGCCGCCAAACCUCCAGAGGCUGAAUGUGGGAGCGUGGACUCUCUGCAGUGCGGGGAACAGCACUCACAGAUCAGCGCUCAGUGAGCGUGCACGUCCAGAGUGCGCCACAGGAACAGUUUGCUCCGUCAUGUUUUCACCACAGAGACUUUCCAUCCACUAAUUUUACAUGUUGGUGCCAGAACUGCAGCUGCAAAACUGAGCUUAUGCAACAGAGUGGAGUUAUAUAACAAAGACAAACCCAGACUGAUCUUCAACAUGCAGCUGAAAGGUUUAAUGUCAUGUUUAACAUUCACUCAUUUAUUUUCUCCACCUUCCGUCUACGAUGAGAGUUUUGGUGGCUCCUGUAACCACCGAUGACAAUGACCGACAUUUAGUCUGUAAUUACGGCCCAGCGUCCUCCGUCUUCAGCGUUAUGAUCAUCAUCUGGACGCUGUAGCUGCCCGGCGGAGCUGAUUCAGCCAGCUCAGGUUUAUCCGUAUCGAAGCUUUCCAGCUCAACGUCAACACAACUCAGCUUCCACCGGUGGAGCAACGCUUCAAUCGACCAGUCGGCACUGAAACACAAGGAAGAAGAGGAGGCUUACAACAACUGAAGCAGCGAUGCAGACUGGACAGUACGUCUGCGGUGCAGGUGGGAAAUAAAGCAGGUAUACUGAACCUUCUCUCUUGGUAUGUGGUCCAGAACUGGGCUCUGGGGUUCUUUCUUAGAAGAUAAGCAACAGUCACGAGGACAUCUUCAAAAUCUGAGACAGGUGGCAAAUGUUUAUUCACUCAGUUUUACAUACACUACAUGGCCAAAGUGCAUCCUGCGACCAACCUUGUGGCUCGUAGAAAACAUCCGACCCCAAGAUGACGUCCAGCUCAGGAAGCAGAACGAGAUCCGGCGAGAUCUCCCCCCAGGUGAGUCCCAGCACCUCCACGUCACGGAGGCCGUUGGCUUCACAGCUGCGCCUGCAGUUCUCCAGGCACUGUGGAGUCGUAGCGUUGUCUGACAGGAUCACCUUUGCACCGCACUUCCCCGCCACCACACCUGGCAGACUCACACCUGCACCAAUCUGUGGAGAGAGAACUCGCAAUGUCCACAGUUCCGUUGUUGUUAAAUAUUUUUCAAAUUGUAACAAUUAAAACCUGCUUCCUAUCACCUCCA